UGCAUGGGUUAACUUUUGUCGUUCUGAUCCAGCUAGAUCUACUAAGUUGAUCCGGCUUGUUCUUGUGCUGUUUGAGCCAUCCUCCAGAUUCUAUAGAACAAUCUUGAUGACACAUGUAAAAACGCAAUGUGAGCGUGAGCUGUCUGCAUUUGCGCUUGUUGCCCCGGUCCUCCGAUUUGAGAGGCCCUUCACCAACAGUUGCGUUACAUCCUUUGUAGUGAAAACUAACUCCUUUGUCAAUGAUUCAACAUAGACACAAGCAGUUCUAACAUCCUCUCUAAUCUGCAAUUCAACAGGUGAUGGGUCUAGCAAAUCAGUAAUCUGCUCAUUGUAAAUCUGCAAAUUACAACCAGGAAGAAUUACAUUUUCUAUAGAAAACAGAACAUGAAAAUAUGCCUUAGAUUACUUCUUUGAUACGAGAGAACAACUGCUCAAAGACACGGGGCGUCAGCCCCCUCUCGCUGCACGUUGAGUCUUCUGACAGUGCUGACAAAGGGCCCCACAUUGUGUAGGUUUUCCCACUGCCAGUCUUUCCAUAGGCAAAUAUUGAGCUGUUGAACCCAGAUAAGCAAUUUUCAACAAGUGGCAGCCCGACAAGCUUGAAGAUAUCCUCCUGCGUGGACACCUCGUCGGCGACCGCGUCGAACGUGAAGUCCUGCCCCUGGAUCGCGACCGAGUUGGUCGCCGUCUUGCGAACGCACAAGUCCGGCGCCCGCGCGUCCUCCUCCUCCUCCACCCGGCACGGCGGCCGUAUCCUCACCACCACCUG
rnacentral:sRNA from 1 species